AUUUUGAACGCAAAAGCAUACGGUUGUGUUUAUAUAUAAACGUUAAAUAAAUCUAAAUCUCGUUUAGUGGAGAAACCGGAAAACUAAAUAAAAGAAGCACAACAAACAUAAAUAGUUUUUAGUAAAAAAUUAUGGCACAUAAUGUGGAAGAAAACACAUUCAACUUAUAUGCAAAGAAUGUUGUUUAUAUUGGGGGUUUCGGUGGCAUCGGCGUAGAAACUUGCAAGCAAUUGCUGCAGAAGGGUGUUGCGAAUUUGAUGAUACUCGAUAAAACGUGGAAUGAAUCAGCCCACAAAGAGCUUAAUGCGGUCGACACGCAACGCGUAUUUCAAUUCAUGGAGUUUGACAUCACCUGCGGUUUGGAUAAAACACGCCAAGUGUUCGCACGAAUAAUGGAAAAAUUCGGUUACAUUGAUGUGCUAAUUAAUGGCGCGGGUAUAUGCGAUGAGCAAGACUACGAUCUGAUCAUUGCCGUAAAUUUCACGGGUACAAUUAAUGCAACACUUGUCGCCUAUGACCUAAUGGAUAGGAGUAGAGAUGGUCAGGGCGGAGUGGUAGUGAAUAUAUCGUCGGUAGCUGCGUUGACGCCAUUCCCCGUCUUACCUAUUUACAGUGGGACCAAAGGAGGAGUUCUUAGUUUUACCAGAGCGCUUUCGGUAGCAUCUGGAACCGAAAACUGGCAUAACUUUAUACACGAUUUGCCCCGGCAUAACCGACACCAAACAUUGGGACAAUGUAAACUAUUUUCAACGGAAGAGUCUCCAUUUAAAAGAGAGAUCGCGUGGGAAAACAUUCCCCUCACAGACGCCAGUCGAUUGUGCAACAAAUAUAGUCAAAAUUAUUGAAGCCAAUCAGAAUGGUUCCACUUGGAUGUGCGAUAUGGGACAACGCAAGAUGGUCGAAAUUAAGAAUUUCUGGUGUCCAAACAAGCAAAACGAAGAAGGGCAAACUUGUCAUAAAACCCUGCAUCCGAGGAAGCGAGUCUGCAAUAAUGAUGUACGAGUGAUAGAUUAGGUGUAUUAUCAAUUUGAGAAAUAAGCGCAGAAUAUAUAGUAGACCACCGUCGUCUGACUAGGUGACUUUUUUAUGUAGAUAAUUUUGUAACUUCUUUUUUAUUUACGGGAGUUUUUUUUUAAUUUUGAAAUUGUUAGAUUUUUUAUACCAUAAACGUAGGUAUAUCAUAGAUAUGUAGAUAGAUAAAUAAUACUGUGAAAGCUAACCAAUUUAAACAUACCUCCAAAUGUAUGUACGUACAUUUUGUAUGCCCGCAAGUAUUUAUUAUUAUCACAUUUAUUAGCUUGCUAUUUAUUAACUACGUAUAAAUACCCAUUUCAAUAUAAAUAAUUUUGAUUUAUGGAGAGUAACUUAAAAGAGUUUGUAUACAACUUCGCCAUGUUAGUCUUAAUGAGUGAAAAUCUAUUUGAAAGCUCCAUGUCUUUCCAAUGCAAUUUCUUAGUGGUUUUCAUAUACGCAACGUUACCUCGCCAGUUUGCAUUUCGUGUAUUUUUUAUGAUUUUUUCGAACCUAUUUACCAACUGCCAAUUUGACAGUUAAUACAGUUAGAACACAAAGUAAGCACACAAAGUAUUCAGCUGUUGUAAAGCUUUAGCUUAAUCAGUAAAUACAAUAGAAGUCAUUUUAUUGUCGAAGUGCCAAAUUACUCAUGAAAGAGCCUUUCAAAAAUAUAAUAACUCCUAUAAAUGUAUAAAUAAACAAGAUAAGAACUGGAUAUUCAAUGUUAAUGUUAAAUGGAUCGGGAAGAAUACUUCACAAAAAACUUAAUCCACAUAGGAAUUUUAUGCCGAUUUCGUUUCUACCAAAAAAUGCAACCUUCUCUUUGCCCUCUACGCACAAACAUUAAGAAGAAGGCGAUGAGAAGGCAACAUUUUAUGUAGAAAUGAAAACGCCAUAAGCCAACUUAAUGCUUUCGCUUGGUUCUCACUCAGCAUUUUAUUCUUAAUACAUAUAAAAAUACAAACUAAUCUAAAAACGACAAUGUUCAAGUGUGUCCAAAAAUAGGGAUGACCACCCAAACUAUAUUUCUAUACUUUUAUAAAUGUACAACUGUAGAUAUUCGAUAAAACAACUUAUCUCGAGUUCAAUUACAGUUUAUUAGGCUUUUUUGUUACACGCAUACGUAUCUGCGCUUAAAAUUUGUAUGGAGCUGUAAGCGACAAACUUUGUGUGCGCUUAUUAAUAGUUGUCGAUAAAAUCAAAAUUACUUGUUUUUAAAUGAAAAUUGCCAUUGCUUGUUCUUUUAUACGUUAAGUGUAUAUUAUAUUUAUAUUUUAUGUAAAACUAAGACCAUUCAACCAUUUAUAAAUACAAAAUACAUUAAUUAAAAUUUAAAGUCAACAAAUUUUAUAUAUAUAUGUACUAUACAUACACAUGUACUUAGUAAAUAAAAUUUUUAAUUUUUGUACGAGGGCCCAUUUUUUCUCCAAAACCACAUAUGUAGCUUGUUUUAUUAAAAGUCCACAGACAGGAAUUUACUUCAAAUGUAUUAUUUUAGUUUAAGAAUAUAAAAACUGCCGGAAUCAUAUCAGUUGCUAAGCCAAAAGCUGACAGCUUAUUUAUUAAAAGAGUUGUUAAUUAAACAUAAGCUUAGUAAUAAUAAAAUUCUGCUCAUCGAUUGUUUUAUAUAAAACUAUUUUCCAUACUUAAACUUAAAUAUAAAUACCUUUUAAUA
rnacentral:misc_RNA from 1 species